UUGGCGGUGACCCUCGUAAAAAUUCUCGCAAAUUCAUAUUCGCUAGAAAUGUUUGUAUGUAUAUAUAUAUAGUCACUUAUAUCGUAGCAUAAAGUCAGCUGAAAUAUGAGUUUGGCAUUGCGAUGGCACAUUGUUGAUUAUAUUGAAUUUUUCGUGGACUCAAGCCAAGUGACGGCAGCACAUUUGGAAAAUUAUUUUGUCGCCAAUUUAAACAGUUGCGUUCUCACAGCACAGAAAUAUAUAUUUAUGCAAGCCUCCAAGAAACGACGACAGUGAACACCUUUGUGUGCAAUUCGAGCAUUUAUUUUUAAUUAUUAUAAGAAACGCACAGUUAUGGGAGAAAUUAUUUGCUUAAGUCGGCUUAAAUGCAGAAACUUUUAAUGAAAUUAUUUUCAACUCAAAUAUUUUUAAUUAACUUAAAUGCUUAUCCAAACGCUUUAUAUACAAU